AGAGUUUGAUCCUGGCUCAGGAUGAACGCUAGCGGCAGGCCUAACACAUGCAAGUCGAGGGGUAACAGAGGUGCUUGCACUUGCUGACGACCGGCGCACGGGUGAGUAACGCGUAUGCAACCUACCUUAUACAGAGGGAUAUUCUUUGGAAACGAAGCGCAAUACCUCAUGGUCUCUAAAUAUGGCAUCAUAUUAAGAGUAAAGAUUUAUCGGUAUAAGAUGGGCAUGCGUGACAUUAGCUAGUUGGUGAGGUAACUGCUCACCAAGGCUACGAUGUCUAGGGGGUCUGAGAGGAUUAUCCCCCACACUGGUACUGAGACACGGACCAGACUCCUACGGGAGGCAGCAGUGAGGAAUCUUGGUCAAUGGACGCAAGUCUGAACCAGCCAUGCCGCGUGAAGGAUGACUGCCCUAUGGGUUGUAAACUUCUUUUAUAUGGGAAGAAAAGCAGAUACGUGUAUCUGUCUGACGGUACCAUAAGAAUAAGGACCGGCUAACUCCGUGCCAGCAGCCGCGGUAAUACGGAGGGUCCAAGCGUUAUCCGGAUUCAUUGGGUUUAAAGGGUGCGUAGGCGGCCUGUUAAGUCAGUGGUGAAAUUUUGUGGCUCAACCAUAAAACUGCCAUUGAAACUGAUAGGCUUGAAUACUGUCGAGGUAGGCGGAAUAGGUAGUGUAGCGGUGAAAUGCUUAGAUAUUACCUAGAACACCGAUAGCGAAGGCAGCUUACCAGAGAGUCAUUGACGCUGAUGCACGAAAGCGUGGGUAGCGAACGGGAUUAGAUACCCCGGUAGUCCACGCCGUAAACGAUGAUCACUCGUUGCAUGCGAUAUACUGUGUGUGACUUAGCGAAAGCAUUAAGUGAUCCACCUGGGGAGUACGGUCGCAAGAUUGAAACUCAAAGGAAUUGACGGGGGCCCGCACAAGCGGAGGAACAUGUGGUUUAAUUCGAUGAUACGCGAGGAACCUUACCUGGGCUUAAAUGUAGGUUGCAUGAGGCAGAGAUGCUUCUUUCUUCGGACUACUUACAAGGUGCUGCAUGGUUGUCGUCAGCUCGUGCCGUGAGGUGUCGGGUUAAGUCCCAUAACGAGCGCAACCCUUGCCGUUAGUUGCCAGCAUGUAAUGAUGGGGACUCUAACGGGACUGCCACCGUAAGGUGAGAGGAAGGUGGGGAUGACGUCAAAUCAGCACGGCCCUUAUGUCCAGGGCUACACACGUGUUACAAUGGUUGGUACAAAGGGCAGCUACCUGGCGACAGGAUGCUAAUCUCAAAAACCAAUCUCAGUUCGGAUUGGAGUCUGCAACUCGACUCCAUGAAGCUGGAUUCGCUAGUAAUCGUAUAUCAGCAAUGAUACGGUGAAUACGUUCCCGGGCCUUGUACACACCGCCCGUCAAACCACGGAAGUUGGAGGUACCUGAAGUCUGUCACCGCAAGGAGCGGCCUAGGGUAAAACUAGUAACAGGGGUUAAGUCGUAACAAGGUAACCUA
rnacentral:rRNA from 1 species